CCUACGGGGUGCAGCAGUGGGGAAUCUUCCGCAAUGGGCGCAAGCCUGACGGAGCAAUGCCGCGUGAACGAAGAAGGUCUUCGGAUUGUAAAGUUCUGUCCUUAUCGAAGAGAGAGUAUAUCGUGAAAAAUGAUAUACUAGGACGGUAGAUGAGGAGGAAGCCCCGGCUAACUACGUGCCAGCAGCCGCGGUAAUACGUAGGGGGCGCGCGUUGUCCGGAAUCACUGGGCGUAAAGGGCGCGUAGUCGGUAAUAUAAGUCAGAUGUGAAAGGUGGGGGCUCAACCCCUAGAGUGCAACUGAUACUGUAUAACUUGAGUGUGAGAGAGGGGAGCGGAAGUCCUAGUGGAGCGGGGAAAUGCGUAGAUAUUAGGAGGAAGACCAGUGGCGAAGGCGGCUUUCUGGCUCAUAACUGACGCUGAGGCGCGAAAGCGUGGGGAGCAAACAGGAUUAGAUACCCUUGUAGGC
rnacentral:rRNA from 1 species